UCAAAUCCAGAGCCUCUUGUGCUUUUAGUGGGUCAGUCAAUAUAGCAUUCAAUUGUUGUACAGCUGCUGCCUUUUGUUUUUUCAUGAAAGCAGGAUCUGGAACCCCAAGGGUGGAUAAAAGACUUAUCAACUGGCGGUUCAGAAAACAAGGUUGAAUCUUGCUACAUGCUAAAACGUCUAACUUUGUGUUUUCUGAUUCAUACUUGGACAUGCUCCUCCUCAAUGAUAAUUUCAUUGAUGAAGUUGGAUCAACGGCCACCACACACCUUUGUACCCACCAUAUCGAAUCUGAAAGGCAGAUGGAGUCCCAUUAAAGCCACAUUUUGAGGCCACUUUCUUAGCAAAAUCAGCAGAUAUUUUCCCAAUCCCAUCGGAGAAGACAUAUUUAUUGUUUUCUACAUCGGGAAUAACUUCCAUUUCAUGUUUUCCAACAUUUAAAGUUUCAGUGGACGAACCAAAGGAUUGACCUAAUCUGGCAGCAUAUUUUGCUACAUUUUUUAUACGACGAAAAUCCCCCAUCCACUCUCUUAUAUUGGCUGCAGUAAGUCCCCGUCUUGAAGCAAACAUCCACAUAGAAUUCUCUCGCAAUUGACUUGAUGAGAAUGCGAGAAACUCGAAUUUCUUUUCACCAAUUACUAUGCCGUUUCUGAGAAUAAAAAGAAUCCGCUUGUAGAUGUCGGUUUUCCCAUCCUCAUAGGCAGCAGAAGUACGUGGAAGCAAAUCUGAAGAAUAAACUCGAUCCAUCUCCUCGUCAACAAAGGAAACACGAAUGAAGUUAUCAAUAUCAUCUGGAUAAUUGCGUAGUACACGAUUUGAGACAUUGACCUCAGGACCAGAAGAAAAUACACGACAUGGUGUAAUUUGGACCCUGCGUACAUAUACCAACCCAGAAUCUAAGGAUAUGACAGAUGACUGUGGACGUCUCUUUGACGUGAGGUACUUCCUGUACUGCUCAUUAAGCCACUCUGAAGGUUUAUAGCAGGUCUCUUUCAAAUUAUAUAAUUUCUCUAGGGCAUACUCUAUACAUGCACGAUCAAAUCUGUGCGGAUCAACCAUCUUAUAAAAUAUAACAUCAAGUGUUGGCCCUGAAAGAUACCCAAGCUGAAGCAGAGAAUGAACUUUAAACAAGAUAUCAUAUGGCACAUACACAUUGACACCUCGAGGAGGACAAACCAUGGGACCCAGACUCGGGUUGCAAGAAUAAGGGGGACCAACCUCCAAGACAAGGUUACCUUCAAUCUCUUCAUACCCAGGAAAGUUUUCUCGAAAAUCUGGAAGUUGGAGACUAUGAGGAAGCUCCAAGCUUAAUGCAAAAGACUGCCCAAUAGCACGUGAUGGAGUGAAAUCAGUAGUCCUGACCCAUUGAUCAUCAGAGUCCAUGAAAUAGGUCAUACCAAGAUCUUCAUAUGCUUGUCCUGAAGAGCGUAUGACUUUCUUAGAAAUCCGAGGUGCUCCGUACAUCUGAUAAUUGGAGACAAAUCAUCAAACUUUUCAAGAUUACUAAUUCAUAAAAGAGAACAUUUAAUUUUUCGCCAACUGCAGUAGCAUGCUUUGACGAUGUUAAUAAAAAUAUUCCAUUCAUACUAUAUUCUCAGAAUUUUAUCCACUUCCCUCAACACCUCAAAUUGUAGAAACUACAAACUUUUAAAUUCCAUCAAACGAAGAAAAUUGAUUUUUGCUCAAAUCCAGACAAGGAUUACCAUGUUAACCCUUAAAGUGAACAACCCUCAAUUCUCUAGACUGGUGAUUUGACGCUCACCAAUUUGCUAGAAAUGGGAAAGCAGAAAAAGGUCACAUAUAUUUAGAAGCAAAUGCACCAUGUAGAUGAUAUAAAAUUAUUCAAUCGUAAACAGAACAAGGAUUAGGAGAAGACAAUCAUUUGAAUUUAACUGCUGAUUAAAAAUAGGUGAGGAACCUGAAUCAGAAGAUGCUUAGCAGCACAACCGCGUGGACGAUGCAACUCAAUCUGCCAGAUGUUUUCAUAGGAAAGUUCGAUCAUAUACUCCAGAGCGUCAUAUUUCAGACGACAAACUAGUUUCCGCAAUCCAAUCCCAAAAUCCACUGAAACAUUGUUCAUAUUCCAGAAACUAAAUAGCUUAUUUGUUGCGAUCUUGCAGCCAAAAUCCAGCUUUAUGUUUUCAAAGGUAUGCAAAGAGCCUCUUGGCUUUGGUACAAUAUCCUGAUCCAGCUUCCAAGAAUUCAGAUAGGAAGCGCCAUAGUACAAGUUUCUAGCACUGGCCAUGUAGUGAAUAAGAUCAGCAUUUUUGGUGGUGUCAAACUGAACAGUAGCAUAAUAUCUUCUCCCAUCUUUGGCUUUUCUUAAUCUCACAGCAUAGACAGAUCCUUUUCCUGUUUCUUUCUCCAGCAACCGCACAACUGCUUCUGCAGUCACACCGGAAGUGAAUCCAUGCAACCUUAUCGUCCUACUCAUCUCUUAUCAUGUGAAUAUGUUCACUGUAUUUACGCUGACAAAGAAUCCAUAUGAGUAAAAUGUACUUGUAUGGUUUUAUUGAAAUUAUGAAAUUAAGGGCUCGUUUGGGAGAGCUUUUUAAAUGACUAAAAGCGCAUUUGGGGAAAAUGUUUUUGGGUUCCAAAAGCACUUAAACUGCUUCCUACGAGUAGUGGUGCUUCUUGUAGGAAGCACUUCAAGUGCUCUUCCACCAGUUAUGUGCUUGUUUUAGGAAGCAGUACUUCAAGUGUUUUUCCAAAAUUCACCCGCAUUUUUACUAAAGGUUGGUUCCAAAAAUAUUUUUUCACAAAACGCUUUCAGCUAUUUUAAGACAAUAGCAGUUCCAACCGAAAACCAGAAAGUCUCAAUGAAUCCAAGAAAAUACAACAACAACAAAGCCUUUUCCCACUAAGUGGGGUCGGCUAUGUGAAUCCUAGAACGCCAUUGCGCUCGGUUUUGUGUCAUGUCCUCCGUUAGAUCCAAGUACUCUAAGUCUUUUCUUAGGGUCUCUUCCAAAGUUUUCCUAGGUCUUCCUCUAACCAAGAAAAUAAAUUGAAAUUAUUAAGCUAAGAACAAUUAUGAACCUCAUAAACCAAAGCCACUCAAAUGCAAAACAUGCAACAACCUAACAAGUAUAUGAUUAUUUUUAGGGGAUCAACAAUCAGAAAGAACACGAUGAUAAUUCUGCUCUACAAAAAAAUAAAAGCAAAACAACCAAAAAGGAGAGGCCUUUUUUUUUAUGCAAUUGCAGUUGAGAGAAAAUGUGCUUCUUACGAGAAGUUUAAGUGUUUUUCAUGAUUCACUUGCAUUUUUAUUAUAGAUUAGUCCCAAAAACAUUUUUUCACAAAAAAAAAAAAAACGCUCUCAGCUAUUUUAAAAGCAGUUCCAAACGAUCCCUAAGAGAAGCAGAAAGUCUGGAUGUAUCCAAGAAAAGUUAAGGUAAGAACAAAUAUGAACCUCAUAACCCAAAGCCACCCAAAAGCAAAACAUGUAACAACCUAGCAAGUAUAUGAUUAUUUUUUAGAGGAUCAGAUCAACAAUCAGAAAGAACAAGAUGAUAAUUCUGCUAUACAAAAAAGAUGCAAAACAACCAAACAAAGAGAGGCCUUUUGUUAUGCAAUUGCAGUUGAGAGCAAAAGCACAGAUUUUUUCACUGAACAAAACUAAGCACAAAAAUACCCAAUCCAUCCAAAAUUAUAAAAAAUUCAGAACGAAAAAAAACUGGACAAAUACCCCAAUGAAUCUCCCAAUGAUGCAGGAAGAGUAAAGGACACAGAUUUAUCAGAGGGAGAAACCCAAAGAGGAAAUUACACAGGCAAAAAUACCAUCUGCAUAAAAACUUGAUCAAACACAACUAAUCAAUCACACACCAACAAAAACUACAGAGAAAAAACAGAAACUGCAGAGACAAUUAGGGUGCGUUUGGUACGCAGACGGGACGGGACGGAAUAGGACGGAACGGGACGGGACGGAACGGAACGAAGGUGUAAUUUUUUGAAAAAUACAUGGGGUAUAUUUGUCUUAAAAUGGUAAAACAAUGUGUUCCACAGACGUGGAACAAACCCGUUCCAGGGGGAAGUGGGACGCAAAANUUCGAUGGACUCAAGUACAUAACGGUUAUAUGCAUGUUAACUGGAAGAUGUGAUGAUAUUGAUUUUUUCAAUCGAAAUCAGUGUUCUUGAUUUUUACAUUAUAUAAUCUACUGCAAACACAUAAAGACACAGAAUGGAUAUUUUGAACUAAAUUCACGAACUCAUGAUGCAUUACACAUUCUUACCUUGGUCCUUUUUGGGGAAAAACAACACAAUCAACCAUAUGGUACAACUCUGGCACAUCCACAGCCUUUAAAACACGUACAUCGCCAGGGUGCAAACAAGGGUUCUUAGCAACAGCUACCUUCCCCACAAUAAUGAAUCGCUGGUUUGAUGCACUUACAGUAUGCCUGUUACCAGAGAAUUGCACAAACACCUCACCAUAUUCCAAUGUUCUGGUUUCAUCUAGACAUCCCAUCAUUGCUCGUCCAUCUGGAAUAAAGAUUCUUGUUUUCGUCCGCAACUCUAGCAACUUUGAUGCCCGAAAUGUUUGCAGCAUCAUUGAAAUGAAGGGUUCAACAUCAGGUUUAUAACCACAUAUAAGCAAUUCCUUCAAGCAGUUGGUAGUCUCCCCUGCAGACAUCAAAUCCAGAGCCUCUUGUGCUUUUAGUGGGUCAGUCAAUAUAGCAUUCAAUUGUUGUACAGCUGCCUUUUGUUUUUUCAUGAAAGCAGGAUCUGGAACCCCAAGGGUGGAUAAAAGACUUAUCAACUGGCGGUUCAGAAAACAAGGUUGAAUCUUGCUACAUGCUAAAACGUCUAACUUUGUGUUUUCUGAUUCAUACUUGGACAUGCUCCUCCUCAAUGAUAAUUUCAUUGAUGAAGUUGGAUCAACGGCCACCACACCUUUGUACCCACCAUAUCGAAUCUGAAAGGCAGAU
rnacentral:lncRNA from 1 species